UGUGAUGGUGUUUUAUUUUCUUGGGAUUUUGAGGAACAUUACGCGGUUUUGGAUGGCCUUGUUUUGCCCCAUUCGGAAGGAGAUUUCAGGAGGUAUUUAACUAGGAAGACAGGAUUAAGAUGCUGCCAUCAUCGGUGUAUUAUAUGUUUGGCAUUAUUCAUUAGCUAGUUUCUUAAUGACUUAGAAGUUAUCAGGUUAAUAAACACUGUCAGCAAUUCUGAAACGCGCAAAACUAUACUUUUUCAAACCAGCCAAUAGAGACUUGAGUAUUGCUGCUGCUGCCUAACAGUGUAAGGUCAGGUCAACUUUUCUCCAAACGCUCAGUUAAUUUGGAUCUAUAAAGCAGUGAAUGAGAUCUGAUAGCUCGAACGCCGUUGUUAUUUCUUGUUUAGGUACAGUUUGCAUGCCUUACGCCUUCAGGAUUGCUCUCAAUUAUCCCUGAUGAUACAAAUACAUAUAUAUAUUGCUGAUUUCUGCUUUUUGUUGUUCCCCGCUUUUUAGAGAAUGUAUUAGUGAUUGUUCUUUCUGUUCUAAGACAGACGAUGUAUCAUUUACCCGAUGUUUGUUACAAAUAUGAUGUUUUACUUUUUUUGUGAAUAAUUGUUUACGCGCUCUGAAUUUUUAAUUAAUUCAAGGUUUGCAGGCCGUUUAUGUU